GUGAAGCGACAAAAUGUUUGGUAAUGUAUUAGUGAAUACUUUCUGUGUGCAUCACUUAUGCAGAGGCCAGGGUCAUCCCCUUUCUGAAGAAAAUGUAUUAGUGAACACUGUACAUAUUUGCUCGGUUAUCAUGUCUUGCUGUUCGUGGCCAUUACACUGCACACCAUCAGGCAAAAUAAGGCAACGAAGGCAUACAAGUAUAUUGCAAGGUCAAUGCUAUAUGUGUAUGUAUGUAUGGAUGGAUAGGUGCUACUGAAGUGAGAUUCCGAGAAAAUCUGCAUACAAGUAAUAUCGCAAGAUAAAAUGCAUGUUUCUCAGGAGACAAAGACUGCAGUUAAUUCCGAAGGAGAAUAGCAACCUUUGCUUCUGCUAGGUUCAAUGAGCAUAUGGUAAAGGAAGGUAUCAGUGGAUUCACCAACGUAGAUUACAAGAGUAAAGGUUUAUCUAAUGAGGCCUUGUCGCGGCGCUGCAAGUGUUGCCCCCUCCUCCCCAAGGGCAAGGUGAAGGAAGGUGCCUGUGUGGUUCUUCUGCAGCUCGCAGCGAGGAUUGCUGUGUCCAACCUGCACAAAAAUGCCAAGAAGUCUUUCUCGGAGAUGAUUAAGGACAUGUACCUGCACUACAAUGAGAGAUAUGGGCUUCUUUGUGGCUUCCAAACUUGAAAUGUUUGUUUGGAAGUUAGGUUAGUUUUUUGUUGUUGAUUCACAGCUUCUCACAUAUACUGUCCUCUUAAACCUUUAGAUUUCCAAAGAAACUAAAUGAAGAUACGGUGGUAUGGUCUCAGUAGUACAACUUAAAGCCUUCUCUUUAUAUUUUCUCUGAAAUUUGCUCUUGAAGAAUCAUGUAUCUAUGUUAGAUCCGGUGAGAAAAGGCGGCUUCCAAGUAGAGGAUGCGGGAGUGUUGGCCACAUUUGGUUUUCGAUUUGGGUGUCUAACUAUUCUCACAAUACUUGGCUCUCCCUCGGCCUUUGCGCCAUUGGCGCAACGAGUCAUCUAGUUGAACAUAUAAAGGAUGAGGGAAUGCGGCCAACUAGCGGCUGUGGCCACGUCUCCUUUUUUUCGCGGGUUACUGUAGCAGCGCUUGGAGAGAUGAGUCCCGAGCGCCCCCAUCUUCCCUCCUCUCUCUUUUCCACUUUCCCCUCGCCUCCGCCUCCGCCAUCGCCUCCUCCCCUCUCCUCCCUCUCUCCCGUCUCCUCCCUCUCAACCCUAGCCGUCACCACCCAGUACCCACCCUCUACUGCUCCACCGCGCACCCACCUCCCCUUAGAUCAGGUGCAGGCCGGCCGGUGCGCGCAGGCGGCGGCGCUCCACUCGAGGGCAAAGGGAGGCAACGGCGGCGGUGACCGCCGUGGACACCCGCGGCUAUGACGAACCCCGCUGCUAGGAGGCCACCAUGGAGGCCCGUCCCGAGCUCGGCUCGCCGCUCCUCCGGUGACCCUCGUUGUGCCUGGAUCCGGGUCGGGCGGAUCCGACGAUUCCCCGAUGCGCAGACGGGCCGGCACGCGGCCCUAGGCGGAGGAGCCCUCCCAUGGCGUCGACGGCUCUGGAGAUGAGGGCUGCACAGAGGAAGAGGAGCACCAGCAGCUCGAGGUGGAAACUUGGAACAGCCAACAAAACACUCCUUCACCCUUGCCAUGACUUAGAAUAUGAAGUGAUGUUGGUGGGUUGGAUCAUGAGGGUUGAGAAUGGAGAAUAGUUUAAGAACAGUAGAUCCUGAACUUUUCACUAUCUGAAUAUGAGAGAAAUUCACCCUCUGCAUUAGUUGCAAAAGAUGCUGAUUUUGAUCAUAACAAUUAUAGUUGUUCAAGCAGUAGCAGAUUUGGCAACCUCACAGUCAUCUCAUUCAGAAUUCACGUCCUAUCCUCAACGGAGCUUAAGAUGCUGAUUUUGAUCAUAACAAUUAUAGUUGUUCAAGCAGUAGCAGAUUUGGCAACCUCACAGUCAUCUCAUUCAGAAUUCGCGUCCUAUCCUUAACGGUUAGCUUAUUAACGCGUUGUGGGCACUUCAUUUGGCAUCGUCUUUCAGGCUAAAUUCUUGGAAACUGGGGAGACGGUGGCCAUUAAGAAGGUACUGCAGGACCGACGGUCCAAGAACCGGGAGCUGCAGCUUAUGCAUUUGAUUAACCAUUCCAAUGUUGUUCUCCCUCAAGCACUGCUUCUUCUCAACCACAAGUAGAGAUGAGCUGUUUCUGAACCUUGUCAUGGAGUAUGUCCUGGAGACACUCUACCGUAUGCUUAAGAACUACAGUAAUGCCAAACAGGGGAUGCCACUUAUC